rnacentral:rRNA from 1 species
UACGUAGGGGGCAAGCGUUGUCCGGAUUUAUUGGGCGUAAAGAGCGUGUAGGCGGCUUGGUAGGUCCGCUGUGAAAACUCGAGGCUCAACCUCGAGAUGUCGGCGGAAACCACUUGGCUAGAGUCCGGAAGGGGCAACUGGAAUUCUUGGUGUAGCGGUGAAAUGCGUAGAUAUCAAGAGGAACACCUGCGGCGAAGGCGGGUUGCUGGGCCGACACUGACGCUGAGGCGCGAAAGCCAGGGGAGCGAACGGG